CAAAGACCAUCGCCCGUCCCUACCUUACCUACAGGCUCAUGGAGCUCAUGGAGCUCGACCUCUCCUCCGUGGCCUCCGUCUGCAAGUUCGCCGAUGACAUCCUCAUGUAUGGUACUCACACCAGUUCAAGUAGUGAUGUUGCAACAAGUACAGCUCCUCCCCUGUCAAGCUUAGUGAGCCAAAAAAGAGCAUGUUGAUGGAUGAU